UACGGGGGGGGCAAGCGUUGUUCGGAAUUACUGGGCGUAAAGGGUUCGUAGGUGGCCAACUAAGCCAGACGUGAAAUCCCUCAGCUUAACUGGGGAACUGCGUCUGGGACUGGAUGGCUUGAGUGCGGCAGAGGGGGAUGGAAUUCCACGUGUAGCAGUGAAAUGCGUAGAGAUGUGGAGGAAUACCGAUGGCGAAGGCAGCCUCCUGGGCCAACACUGACGCUCAUGCACGAAAGCGUGGGGAGCAAACAGG
rnacentral:rRNA from 1 species